rnacentral:rRNA from 1 species
UACGUAGGGUGCAAGCGUUGUCCGGAAUUAUUGGGCGUAAAGAGCUCGUAGGCGGUUUGUCGCGUCUGCUGUGAAAACUCGGGGCUCAACCCCGGGCCUGCAGUGGGUACGGGCAGACUAGAGUGCGGUAGGGGAGACUGGAAUUCCCGGUGUAGCGGUGAAAUGCGCAGAUAUCAGGAGGAACACCGGUGGCGAAGGCGGGUCUCUGGGCCGUAACUGACGCUGAGGAGCGAAAGCGUGGGGAGCGAACAGG